rnacentral:rRNA from 1 species
AUCCUGGCUCAGAUUGAACGCUAGCGGGAUGCCUUACACAUGCAAGUCGAACGGCAGCACGGACUUCGGUCUGGUGGCGAGUGGCGAACGGGUGAGUAAUGUAUCGGAACGUGCCUAGUAAGCGGGGGAUAACUACGCGAAAGCGUGGCUAAUACCGCAUACGCCCUACGGGGGAAAGCAGGGGAUCGCAAGACCUUGCACUAUUAGAGCGGCCGAUAUCGGAUUAGCUAGUUGGUGGGGUAACGGCUCACCAAGGCGACGAUCCGUAGCUGGUUUGAGAGGACGACCAGCCACACUGGGACUGAGACACGGCCCAGACUCCUACGGGAGGCAGCAGUGGGGAAUUUUGGACAAUGGGGGAAACCCUGAUCCAGCCAUCCCGCGUGUGCGAUGAAGGCCUUCGGGUUGUAAAGCACUUUUGGCAGGAAAGAAACGUCAUGGGCUAAUACCCCGUGAAACUGACGGUACCUGCAGAAUAAG